AUGCUACGUCUCCAGGAACAUGAUGCAGAGGAAAUCACUUCACAGAAGGGGUCAAGGAUGGUGAUGCUGUUCUACAUGAGGAAGAGACACAGUGUUGGACUGGAGCACGAGGUAAUUUCAAGAGAAGAGAACCCACACUCAAAAAGAGGGUGUUACCUAAGCUGAGAAUACCAGGAGGUGAAGAUUUGGGAUCGUUUUACAGACAACGGAAAGAUACGAUUCUCUCUUCAUCCUAAACAUGAAAACCUUAUGUCAUUGCUCUGACAGUUCGGAC
rnacentral:lncRNA from 1 species